rnacentral:rRNA from 1 species
GACGAACGCUGGCGGCGUGCUUAACACAUGCAAGUCGAACGGAAAGGCCCUUCGGGGUACUCGAGUGGCGAACGGGUGAGUAACACGUGGGUGAUCUGCCCUGCACUUUGGGAUAAGCCUGGGAAACUGGGUCUAAUACCGAAUAGGACCACGCGCUUCAUGGUGUGUGGUGGAAAGCUUUUGCGGUGUGGGAUGGGCCCGCGGCCUAUCAGCUUGUUGGUGGGGUAAUGGCCUACCAAGGCGACGACGGGUAGCCGGCCUGAGAGGGUGACCGGCCACACUGGGACUGCGAUACGGCCCAGACUCCUCCGGGAGGCAGCAGUGGGGAAUAUUGCACAAUGGGCGCAAGCCUGAUGCAGCGACGCCGCGUGAGGGAUGACGGCCUUCGGGUUGUAAACCUCUUUCAAUAGGGACGAAGCGCAAGUGACGGUACCUAUAGAAGAAGCACCGGCCAACUACGUG